rnacentral:snoRNA from 1 species
UGUGCAUAUGAUGAUAAACAGACAGGGACAUCAGCACUCUAUGGAGGAUGUUGAUUUGUCAGAUGGGAAUCUCUCUGAUGCACA